AGCAGAGACUGAGAGAGGCCUUUCAAGGAAACACAUUAUUGAAGGUCUGAAGGGCCUCUCUCCAGAGGUUGCAGCUGGAAUACGUAGACGUGGUCUUCGCAAACCGCCCCGACACCAACACCGCCCAUGGAGGAGAUUGUGAGAGCCAUGACUUAUUGAUCAACCAGGGAUGUCCAUGUACUGG